CUGGAUGUUUCUGGUAGCUGCACAUCACUGGAAACACCUCAUAGAGUAACUCUGUGGUUUUGCUUUACUCACAGGACUAUUUGUUAGAUCUGUGGGAAGGAACCACAAGACAGAU